UUUGGUUCAAAAUCAAGAAAUGGAAAAAGUUGGAAAUUGAUCUCUCGCAACAGUGAUCUCUCCAAACGGAUUUGCUUCAAAAUGAAGAAACGAGAAAACGAGGUAGCCAUCUGGAUUUCAUUGAAAAACGAGGUAACCUUGUGGAUUCCAUCAACAGUAGCCUUAUCAAGAGCCUUUGCCAUACAGAUCCUCUCAUUCUCCACAAUCUCCAUCGGUUCAUGUUUUUACUACCGGUUUUCGGUGAAUGGUGGAUUCCUCGAAAAUUAGUGUUUGUUCUUGAACGAAGACGAUGGAGUUUGGUGCUGAACAACUUGAUUUUCUGUUAAUAUAUUUUAAUGUGUUUUCAUGUAUUUCAUUGUAUUCAUUAUUUUUUCCAUUGUAAUUCAAUGUAUCUCGUUGUAUUUCAUUGUAUUCACUAUCUUUUUUUCAUUGUAUUUCAAUAUAUCCCGAUGUAUUAUAUGUAUUUCAUUA
rnacentral:lncRNA from 1 species